UUGCAUUCUUAAACCUUCUUGGUAACUUUAUUCUAAAUGCUUCCAAGAUAUGAGCGAAUGUAACUUAUCUAG